UACGGAGGAUCCAAGCGUUAUCCGGAAUCAUUGGGUUUAAAGGGUCCGUAGGCGGUUUAAUAAGUCAGUGGUGAAAGCCCAUCGCUCAACGGUGGAACGGCCAUUGAUACUGUUAAACUUGAAUUAUUAGGAAGUAACUAGAAUAUGUAGUGUAGCGGUGAAAUGCUUAGAGAUUACAUGGAAUACCAAUUGCGAAGGCAGGUUACUACU
rnacentral:rRNA from 1 species